rnacentral:rRNA from 1 species
UACGUAGGUGGCAAGCGUUGUCCGGAUUUACUGGGCGUAAAGAGCGCGUAGGCGGCUCGUUAAGUGUGAAGUGAAAUCUCUAGGGCUCAACCCAGAAACUGCUUUACAUACUGGCGAGCUGGAGUGAUGCAGAGGUUUGUGGAAUUCCUGGUGUAACGGUGAAAUGUGUUGAUAUCAGGAGGAACACCCAUGGCGAAGGCAGCAAACUGGGCAUCAACUGACGCUGAGGCGCGAAAGCGUGGGUAGCAAACGAGGAAUUAUGAUACCC